UACGUAGGGUGCAGGCGUUAAUCGGAAUUACUGGGCGUAAAGCGUGCGCAGGCGGUUUGCUAAGACAGGUGUGAAAUCCCCGGGCUUAACCUGGGAACUGCGCUUGUAACUGGCAAGCUUGAGUGUGGCAGAGGGGGGUGGAAUUCCGCGUGUAGCAGUGAAAUGCGUAGAUAUGCGGAGGAACGCCGAUGGCGAAGGCAAUCCCCUGGGCCUGCACUGACGCUCAUGCACGAAAGCGUGGGGAGCAAACAGG
rnacentral:rRNA from 1 species